CUCCAGACCUUCAGGUUGCCGACCCCUGGACUAGAGGUUAUCCAAUUUGUUGACAACUCUACAAAACAAAUGCUUUUUGUAAUGCUAUUAUACAACACACACUGCCAACUACAUCUACUACUAUACCAUAACAAGGAAAAGCUCAAUGUAAAACACUAUGCUUCUGGGAGAGAGGAGGAUGAUGGCUAAGCUGUCAUCCAUGAUGGAGAAUGAAAAAGAAAAACGCUCAGGUUUUUGGUCAGACUAAAUGAUGCUUAUUUUCUGGAGUAUUUGUUGCCUAGCAACCCAGCCUCAGUUGUGGCUCCGUGCUGCGCCUCCCACGUCGUCACUUCACAACAAAUGAUGCAAAACCGCCACAUUUAAACUGGAUUAGAAGCUAGAGAGAGGAGCACAGAUAACAUUAACACUGUCUCUACAGCUGCAGCAAAGUUGUAAGACUCUGUUCGGUUACUAAGACACUUGUUCUUCCAACAAGCAGUUGCUAAAGUGAAACCAACUUAACCCUGCUAACUCGAUGCUAAUUUGGCUAAGAAUCAAAGCAGAGAUGGGAAUUAGCUUCAUUACAACGAAAACAAAUGAGGGAGCCACUGGAGAGGAGCUAAAGAGACUCAUGUGGCUCCGGAGCUGCAGGUUGCAGACCCUGGUCUAAGUGGACAUUUGGGCCAAAUUUGAAGAAAUACCCUCCAGGUGUUCUUGAGAUAUCCCGUUCAGGAGAAUGGGACGUACGUACAGGACGUACAGACAACCCGAGAACACACAAUGCCUCUGGCCACGGCUGCUGCUGGAACGGAGGCAUAAAAAUGUCUUUUGAGUUCUUUGAGUGGUUUAACUAAUACUGAAUUUGUACUUUUCAACAUUUCUGUCUGUAAAACCAGGCUCAGCAUGCUGCUAUCGUACAGCUUCCCUAAAAUAUGACAAUAAUAAAAAUAAUGUAUGAAAACAAACGAUCCAGCAGAGGACAAGUAACACUCAGCCACAACAACGCUUUACCCUCUACGGCCCUCAUAUUGGAAGUGUAAUGAAAACUGAUUGGAUCAAUUACAGCACCGGCACCGACUCAUGGGAAGAUGAGGGAUUGUCUGGGUCUUUGUUCAUAGCUUUUUAUAACAAGGCAUACAUUUUUAAUGAAAACAGAAAUGUAGCAGGGGACAAACGAACGCUGCAAUGAUACCGCUUUAAUGACAACAAAUGAGAUACAAUCAAAAACCCGACUGUCCCGUCAUUAGCUCGCAGAUGUACCCAGAAACGAAGACAAAAUGAAAAACAAAACGUGAUACUUGACAAGCUUAUUGGAUUUUGGAAAGAGCUUAGCUGACCGGUCUCACGAGGGAUCAGAGCAUCUCACUUGUAUUGUUAUGCCUCGAUGAUUAACACCGUCAAUGAAUAUGAGGAAAAAAAUCUGUUUAACAAAAACAAUUACUUGAAAAGGUCACAUGCUGCUUCUUUCUUAUCUUGUUGGAGAAAUGAACAAGAACAUAUUUAAACCUCUUUUGUCCUCUUGGGGUGUAAAAUAUACUAAGGUAUUUAUUGAGGGAAGUUUAUAGCUGUAAAUUUCUACAGCUGCAUGUGCGUUCACUGAGAAAUGUUGUAUGCAUUUCGGUGAUGCACGAUAUUUCUUUGGCUUCACAUCAAGGAAACUUUGGCAAAAACAAAACGUCAAGUCUCCUUGAGAUGAAAAGCAGCUCAGGUCCUGAUGGUCCUUUAGCUCUAAUUUUAUAUAGUGUGUUAACUGUUAAAUAAUGUCAACAGUGAAGCAAUAAAUUGAUUUAAAAUUCAUAUUCUGGAUUAUCAGUUCUCGAUGUCAUAAGAAUGUUGCUUUCCCAUGAGCUGCAACAUGAUAGAGUAGUAUUUACCUAACCCAUGUCAGGUAAGAGCAGCUAAUAAAUAAAUUAAACUACAAACUA